UACGGAGGGAGCUAGCGUUGUUCGGAAUUACUGGGCGUAAAGCGCGUGUAGGCGGCCAUCUAAGUCGGGCGUGAAAUCCCACGCGCUCAACCGUGGAAGUGCACUCGAAACUGGAUGGCUAGAGUCCUGGAGAGGAAGGUGGAAUGCUUGGUGUAGAGGUGAAAUUCGUAGAUAUCAAGCGGAACACCGGUGGCGAAGGCG
rnacentral:rRNA from 1 species